UAUUUUUUACUCAUUUUUUGAAAAUAUUUACAAAAAUUUUCUUGCCAAAUUUGUUAUUUGGCCAUCUCUCAAUUGUACAGAGUCCUUCAAAAAAAAUCCUGGAUCCAGACAGUGAUCCGGAUCACCUCCAAAAUCUAAUCGAUUGUUACUUUUGCUCUUCCGGACAUUCUGUAAAAAUUUGGUGAAAGUUCGUCCAUGACUUUUUGAGUUAUGCUGUUAACAGACAGACAGACAGACAAACAGAUGGCCUGGCGGAGGUCUGCGCUCUCUGAGUGCUUUUCUUGUUACAUUAUGAAAUCAGUGCUGUGGAGAGGAUAUGUGUUGAGAUUUUUCAGUAGAUCAGAUGUUAGAUUGCACGUCUGUAAAAGCUGAUAAUAGCACUUUAGUUUCAUGAGGAAUAUCAAGUGGGAAUUCUUCAUUCUUGUUCAUUUAUCAUCUUUCACUCCUCAAACAGCUAGCUUACCUCGCUGUUCUAAUUAGCACACAAUAAAGCAGUGUGAGGCUGAGAGAGAAAUAAAGCCAUCAGGAGAUGAAGCACUUCAUCUUAAAACUGGCAUCUUAAACAGUUUACCUGGUUAAUUUGGACAUAUUAAAAAAGAUUAUUGCAUGAAGACACUAUCACCUUAUUACAAAAAUUGCCCCUCUUCAUUCUUGCUCUGUAAUUCACACAUCUCUGCGAAUCCACUUUCAGACAUCACUGUCAGUCUUGACCCCAGUUCUUCCAUGUCCACAAAGAGCAAGAAAAGCCAGUGUCCACACAAAAAAGAUGAAAUUAAUUCCAAGGCCAAUUUUAUUUUAUUGCAUUAGACACAAGUAUGGACUCAGUGUAUAUUCAAUAAAGAGUAAAACAGCAAAUGACUCUUCAGGUGCUGACUUCUUUAACCUUUGCACAGUUAAGGGUGAAUAAAUUGGCUCUUCAUUUCCAUGAGAAAACCCUGUGAUUUGUUUAAUUCAGGGUCGCUCGGACAUCUCACGCUCCCCCGGUCUCACACACACACACACACACACACACACGCUGCUCUCUCUCCCUCUCUCAUACUGGAGCCACACACUCUCAUAACACUUAUCUCCUGUAUAAGAGCAUUGCAUUUUUUUCAUGACGGUAUUGGAACUGAUACCGCUGCUAUUUUUAAACACCGGCGGUAUACGGUAUUACCGUAAUACCGCCCAAGCCUAAUCUACAGUGUUCUUCCCAGUCAAAAGAGCCUGAACCAGUGGCUAAGAGAUGACCCCUUCACCAAACACCACCCUCGCCUAAGGGCGCCACACCUGGAAGCACAACCAGUUCCUCAAGCGUCUGGCAGUUGUGCUGGAACAAAGAAGGACUAGCGAUCAAAGGUGCUUCUCUUUCAGCUCCUAGUUUCACAAAAACCAUGGUCUUUGUUCCAGCCCAAAAGCUACCAAAGAGGCCAAAUGUAACAAAAGCAUCAAGCUUCCUGGACGCAGCCCUGGACUGGAAAAUUAAGGUUGAGCGAGGCCCAAAGCUCACCUUUGCACAGGAGAUCAUUCCACCUAUUCUCUGGUCCAGAUCUGAUCCUGUGCUCAGCCCCUCACAAGGCUCCCCAUCACAGAGCUGGUGGUGCUGUGGAACAAUUUAGCUUGUGAAGUCUGUGAACACAAAAAUUUGAUCCAGCAGCUAAAACAGAACAAAUUGGCUGGAGAACAGACGUUUUCUUUGUGCAUGUUGGUUGCAGUAGUUCUAUGGCUUGUCAACCACCAGGCUGCUGAAAGGGAUAGAAGUUCUGAACUGACCGUUGCUGAAACGAAAAGAUAUGAACUGGACAACAGGAUGAUCAUCAGCUAGCAAUAGCGGAAAAAGUAGCAGGGGGUUCACCUUUGGACACCGCUGAGACCUCUGGAGAACUUGUGGGCCAAUCGGCAAAUAAAAGAAAGUUCUAUUCACAAGUGCUGUGACCCAGCCUCAAAAACCCAGACGGACGAGACAAACAGAAGAGGGGGCCUCUCCUCCGAAUUUCAUUCAGGAAAAGCAAGUUGGGCGUGGAUAAGGAUGGGGAUGACAGUAAGUGACUUUGGACUUCCAGCUGGAAAGAGGGACAGUUAUUGCUUUGUGAUCACACCUUUAUUGACACACUUCAUGACAACAUGUUCAUAAAAUCUGCUCUUGCCAAAUGGAGCCGGUCAUUUCUCUAUCUCCAAGGAGUCGCCCAUAUACCUGCCUUAGGACAAUGAAAAAGCCCCACCUUGGAUUGACAGUUGCAAAUUAACUUCAGCACUGUUAUAGUUUGGUUGCUGAGACACUGACCUGUUAAACCACAGUGGAUAUUUUGUUGUGUCACUGUAGAAAGGUAUAAGUGUUCAAAGUGUCUCCAUUCCGCUCAAGUGUGAAGCAGCUAAAUAGUAUUUCAGGUAUGAAAUAUCAUGUGGCUGAUUAUUUACACUGAUCAGCCACAAUAUUAAAAUCACCUCAUUUAUAUUGUGUUGCUCACCCUUUGGCCGCUAAAAAACAGCUCUGAACCGGACUUCUUCUGGAGGUGUCCUGAGCUGUCUGGCACCAGGAUGUUGGCAGUGGAUCCUCUGGGUUGAGAACUGGGGUAUCAUCAGGAUCAGGCCUGUUAAGCUCUAUCCCAGGAAUGGUCAGUGAGAUCUGGAUCUGAUUUCGGGAGUUUGAGGGACAACCUGGGCUCUUUGCUGUGCUUCUUUGUACCAUUCCUAUACAUAUAUAUACACAUAUAGUAUCUAUAUCUGUAUCUAUCUAUAUAUCUCUCUCUCUAUACACACACACACACACACACACACACACACACACACACACACUGUGUUUUCCAAUCCUUGUGGGGACAUACCAUUGACUCCCAUUCAUAUCUAACCCCUAACCCUUACCCUUACCCUAACCCUAACCUUAACCCAGACCAAAACAAUUCCUAACCCUAAAGAAACGUUUUUGCACUUUUACUUUCUUUCAGUAACAACAACAUGGCCAAGAAAACACUGUUUAAACUUGUGGGGACCCAAAUGAGGUCCCCACAAGUGACAUUGUUUUCGGUUUUCCUACAGUUGUGGGGACAUUUGGGCCCCACAAGUAUAGCCAGCACCUGACCCCACACACACACACACACACAAUGUCAAAGUUUGGCCAUGCCUUCUCAUUGAAUCAUUGAAUGUUUUUUAUUUAAUUCAGCAAUUUUCUACGUUGGAUGGAUCACUGUCAUACAUCUAAGUUGCAUGCAUAGGCUAUACAGACCAUACAUCCUCUGCCCCCGGUGCGUGACGGUCCCCAUAGAAAGUAUUCACUAAUUUGUAAGUCUCCUGUCCCCUCCUUUUACGUCCAUUUAAUAUUUUUCUUUAAAAGCUUAAAUGGUAUUUAAAUCACAUUACUUUGUUAAAAUCAGUUUUCACUUUGACAUAAAGGAAUCUUUUUUUGUUAAUUCUUUUUAAAAAAAGACAAAAUUACUUAACCAUAAUUCAGUGUUAAAAAGUAAUCAAAGGAUAAAAUCUUUCAAGCACACCAUACUUCUCACAUCUACAAUUAUGCAAGUAUGUGAGGGUCUGGUAGGGUCAAUGUGAUGUAAAUUUCCUCAUUUCCCUAAAUCUGAAAGAGUCCAAGUAGCCAAUGCAAUGCUGUUAGACAGAGACUUGUGAGUCCACUUUAUCUGUAUAGUACUUUGAUUAUCGAAAAGCAAAAUGCUUUAAAAUAAAGUCCAUUAGAGAAGCAAAUAUCAAUAUAAUAAUAUAAAUACGUAUAAAUAUGAUUAGACAGAUGUGUUUUUCUGUAUCUAUUUACACCUCUUUUUUCCCAUGUUUACCAAUAUGAAUUACUGUGUUUAAACUACUUCACCCUUAAGUAGGACAUACCUGUUUUUAUCUCGAGGUCAUUUCAGUAAGUUUUCCACUGACACCCAGGAUGACGCUGUAGUGUCAUACCAGUGGAGUCAUGUCUUAUUAUAGAUCUAUAACUGGAAUCAAGGUGCACUUGGAGAUAAAAUAAUUUUAUGGGUGGUGAUAGGUUGAUCAUUUAGUUGUCAGUAAAACAGAAACAUUCCUUUACACUUGUAGUUAAAACACAGUGAUAAUUGCAGAAGUUUCCAUAUGAUGCUAAAGUCUAUUUUUUUAUUAGCUGUUUACGCUAGCAACGCGUUAUCUCAAAUCUUGUGACGUUUUCAAAUCAAAGGUCACAUUUUCUUCCUCUUACUCUGUUUUACGGCCGUCUAGUCCAAUAACACUGUUGUAAAAAAAAAAGCCACAUUUUUGACUUUUUGUUGUUAAUUACAUUGAACUGAUUGGACACAGCUCCAUUUGUGGUUCUGUGUGGAUGUUUUAAGUGGACCGGUGAAUCCAAUCCUGUUUUAAUAAGAUGCUUUAGGGUUAAACGGUAAAUUGUGGAACUGCCAUAAAUUCAUAAAAAAGACUGAGAAAGAAUGUAAUCUUUGCUCGCCCUGUUCCUUAUUGCUUUUAUCUGUAACUUAUAAAGUCUGAGGUUGAGAGACGUGUAAGAAAAGGAACAGUACGUUCAAAUGUUUUGCACGAAUUUAAAAGCAAGCAAGUUUCUCAUAUAUCUUCGCUCAUUGCUUUGGUUGUACAAAUUCUCCAACAUUUUCCAAGCUAUGGAGAUAAGUCCAGUGAAGACAAAUGCUUCCAUGAUGUCCCUCAGCUGUUUACUAGAGCACCAGUGAUAAUCUGUGUCAGGUGUCAGCUGUAGAAUGUUUUUUGUACCUUGAUAACCUGGAACAAUAAAACAUAUCCUUGAUUUGA